rnacentral:misc_RNA from 1 species
UUUCCGUAGGUGAACCUGCGGAAGGAUCAUUAACGAGUUAGGGUCCCCUCGGGGGCCCGAACCUCCCACCCUCUGUCGUCGAACAAACCUUUGUUGCUUUGGCCGGACAGCGUCCGUCCCCCGCGAGGGGGUACCGUCCGCCGCCGGGUCCUCGGGCCUGACGAGCGCCGGCCAGAGUCAAACCACAACUCUUCUUUUGAACAGUCUAGUCUGAGUACAAAGAUUUUAAAUCAAAUUAAAACUUUCAACAACGGAUCUCUUGGUUCUGGCAUCGAUGAAGAACGCAGC